UGAUGGUCCGGCGACAUUCUCCAGCCAUGCCUCUCUGCGCUGACUUAGUUACGGUCUGAUCGGUCCUAAUGUCUUCAGGACCGAAUAGACCACACGCAAGAGGCCCAUCUGGCCAGCCCAAUAGUCACACAUAACACGAGUACACAUCCUUCUCCUCACCUCACGAUUCACAGGAACGCAUUCAUCUUUUUCUAUCCCACUAGGAACCCUAGCCGCCGCCCGCCGCCCGCCGCCCGUCACCCACUGCUGUGGCCCGACGCCCCAUGCCCAUGAGAUGUGAGCCGGUGACGACCGCCGCAUCAAGGCGCGCGGCGCACCCCUGACCGACGAAGAUCGGCGCCCCGAGCCCCGGCCCCGACCAGUGGAGACCGGCGCCCCGCGCCGCCAUCCCCGACCCCCCGUCAGUCGCUCCACUGCCCGUGACACGGCCGUCCGCCGUCAGUGACGACCGCCGCGUCGAGGCGCGCGGCGCGACCUUGACUGAUGUAGAUCGGCGCGCCGAGCCAAGGCCCCGACCAUUGGAGACUGGCGCCCCGCGCCGCCAUCCCCGACCCCCCGUCAGUCGCUCCACUGCUCGCGACACGGCCGUCCGCCGCCGGUGCUCCGCGCCCCGAUGACUGGUUCAGGAGCUGCAGUCCAUCACCACUCAUCACCACCCGUCUUCUUCAACUCUAUUCGUCGGCUCGCUGUCUACUGCCCUCCUUCAUUUCUCCACAUCGCAGCUGAAGAGAUGAUUGAAGAAUUUGGGGACAAGGUGAAGGGAAAGCACAAGGUCCAUGGUGGUGCUGAAAUUGAUUUGUUUGAUGUCAAGUACUAUGUUAUCAAGUACUAAGUGAUGGUGGUCUGCUGUUUGCUGCUUGUCGAUUCCAAUAUUCCAUGUCCUGUUGUUGCUUGUGAUCUUCUUACUUUGUGUCAAAUAUAAAUGGUGUUGCUUGUUA